rnacentral:rRNA from 1 species
CUUCUGCAGGUACCGUCACUUUCGCUUCUUCCCUGCUGAAAGCGGUUUACAACCCGAAGGCCUUCAUCCCGCACGCGGCGUCGCUGGGUCAGAGUUUCCUCCAUUGCCCAAUAUUCCCCACUGCUGCCUCCCGUAG